CCGGCAUCAGAACGUUCCAGGCAUUCCCGUGAUUGGCAGAUAUCAGGUUGAUUGGCAUGUCGGACCCCGCGAACACUGGGUACUGGUAAGUACAACACAACCAACUAAUAGCCUGAUACAUAACACACAGCUGUCUGUCUGGGUCGCUUCAAUAUUCAAUCAUUUCUGCCCACCGAAUUCAUAUUCGUUAUAAACUGUAAAAAAUGAACCACCGACAUAGUAAAUAUUGCAAAAGAAAAUCAAAUGAUUUUUACUAAAAAUAAAAGGUUUCUGCUUUUGAACACAUUUUCGACCGAAUCCAAGACGUCGUCUUGAUCUUUCUCCUCUGGAAAGGCCAUGUGGCAGGUGUAUCACUUCUAUCAUCCUUUAAAAACAAGAAAUGGGCAGUGACUGGGGGAUACCUAGUCAUUUUUUUCGUCAAACCUUCAAAUAGGUAUAUAGGUGUUCAGACGUUCCUGAGUACUGGACAGACCAUAUUUUCCAGAAUACAUUGACAAGGGAUCAAUCAGGCUGCAUUCAAGUACAAAUAUGUGACAACCACAACAUUGUGAGUGCCAAAAUGGCAAAGACCUUCUCAUAUCGAAGACAAGAUGUCGUUCAGGCCCUUCCUGUGAAGGACUUCAAAGAAUGAAUGGCCAGCCCUGUUUGAGCCCACUCAGGAAGCAAAUUUGGCAAAGAUUGGGUGUUCAUACCUCUGCCCUCUGUCUGAAGCAGUGUACUCGUUCCAGUUGGAUUUUGACGAUAGCUUGGCGUGUCAUCUGAAGCGCUGUAAGGAGGAACUCUGUAACUACAGAUUCAGGAACUUCUCCUUCUUUCUCUUGGAUACCUGAAAACGCCAAGGAGUGUGGAGAUGCAUCUCAGAUCUACCUGUCUGUCUCUCUCUUCUUCAACGGUCUCACUGCCUCCUUCACCUGUCUCAAGGCCUCCACGCUGGUUUUCUGAUGACA